UGUGUAGGCGGGCGAUCAAGUACCUUGUGAAAUCCCACGGCUCAACCGUGGAACUGCUGGGUAUACUGGUUGUCUUGAGCCAGCUAGGGGCGAGCGGAACAGACGGUGGAGCGGUGAAAUGCGUAGAUAUCGUCUGGAACGCCGAAGGUGAAAACAGCUCGCUGGGGCUGCGCUGACGCUGAGACACGAAAGCCAGGGGAGCGAACGGGAUUAGAUACCCCGGUAGUCCUGGCCCUAAACGAUGUCCACUAGAUCGCGGGACUUUUGACGGUUUCGCGGUCGAAGCAAAAGUGCUAAGUGGACCGCCUGGGAAGUACGGUCGCAAGGCUAAA
rnacentral:rRNA from 1 species